ACCGCGAAUGGCUCAUUAAAUCAGUUAUGGUUCCUUAGAUCGUUUCUUCCUACUUGGAUAACUGUGGCAAUUCUAGAGCUAAUACAUGCAGUGAGCCUGGAGCCCUUUGGGUAACGGGUGCUUUUAUUAGACCAAGAUCGAUCGGGUUCCGGCCCGUAUUGUGUGGUGACUCUGGAUAACUUUGUGCUGAUCGCAUGGCCACGAGCCGGCGACGUUUCUUUCAAGUGUCUGCCUUAUCAACUUUCGAUGGUAGGUUACUUGCUUACCAUGGUUGUUACGGGUAACGGAGAAUCAGGGUUCGAUUCCGGAGAGGGAGCCUGAGAAACGGCUACCACAUCCAAGGAAGGCAGCAGGCGCGCAAAUUACCCACUCCCGGCACGGGGAGGUAGUGACGAAAAAUAACAAUACGGGACUCUUUUGAGGCCCCGUAAUUGAAAUGAGUACACUCUAAAUCCUUUAACGAGGAUCAAUUGGAGGGCAAGUCUGGUGCCAGCAGCCGCGGUAAUUCCAGCUCCAAUAGCGUAUACUAAAGCUGCUGCGGUUAAAAAGCUCGUAGUUGGAUCUCAGUUCCAGACGAGUAGUGCAUCUACCCGAUGCGACGGCUCGGACUGAACAUCAUGCCGGUUCUUUCUUGGUGCACUUCAUUGUGUGCCUCGAGAUGGCCGGUGCUUUUACUUUGAAAAAAUUAGAGUGCUCAACGCAGGCGAGUCGCCUGAAUAAACUUGCAUGGAAUAAUAGAACAAGACCUCGUUUCUGUUCUGUUGGUUUUUGGAAUACGAGGUAAUGAUUAAGAGGGACGGACGGGGGCAUUCGUAUUGCGGCGCUAGAGGUGAAAUUCUUGGACCGUCGCAAGACGAACUACUGCGAAAGCAUUUGCCAAGAAUGUUUUCAUUGAUCAAGAACGAAAGUCAGAGGUUCGAAGGCGAUCAGAUACCGCCCUAGUUCUGACCAUAAACGAUGCCAACCAGCGAUCCGCCUGAGUUACUCAAAUGACUCGGCGGGCAGCUUCCGGGAAACCAAAGUAUUUGGGUUCCGGGGGAAGUAUGGUUGCAAAGCUGAAACUUAAAGGAAUUGACGGAAGGGCACCACCAGGAGUGGAGCCUGCGGCUUAAUUUGACUCAACACGGGAAAACUUACCCGGCCCGGACACUGGGAGGAUUGACAGAUUGAGAGCUCUUUCUUGAUUCGGUGGAUGGUGGUGCAUGGCCGUUCUUAGUUGGUGGAGCGAUUUGUCUGGUUAAUUCCGAUAACGAACGAGACUCUAGCCUAUUAAAUAGGUGCGGGGUUCCCAGCACCUUACAACCUUCUUAGAGGGACAAGCGGCUCCUAGCCGCACGAAACAGAGCAAUAACAGGUCUGUGAUGCCCUUAGAUGUCCGGGGCCGCACGCGCGCUACACUGAAGGAAGCAGCGUGUCUUUAUCCCUGUCUGAAAAGACUGGGUAACCCGUGGAACUUCUUUCGUGAUUGGGAUAGGGGCUUGCAAUUGUUCCCCUUGAACGAGGAAUUCCCAGUAAGCGCGAGUCAUAAGCUCGCGUUGAUUACGUCCCUGCCCUUUGUACACACCGCCCGUCGCUACUACCGAUUGAAUGAUUUAGUGAGGUCUUCGGACCGAUGUCCGGCGCGGCCUUUCGGUUGCGCCGGUCUGUUGGAAAGAUGACCAAACUUGAUCAUUUAGAGGAAGUAAAAGUCGUAACAAGGUUUCC
rnacentral:rRNA from 1 species